GAUGAACGCUAGCGGCAGGCUUAAUACAUGCAAGUCGUGGGGCAGCAUGAAUGUAGCAAUACAUUUGAUGGCGACCGGCAAACGGGUGCGGAACACGUACACAACCUUCCUAUAAGUGGGGAAUAGCCCAGAGAAAUUUGGAUUAAUACCCCGUAACAUAACGAUGUGGCAUCACAUUGUUAUUAUAGUUUCGGCGCUUAUUGAUGGGUGUGCGGCUGAUUAGAUAGUUGGCGGGGUAACGGCCCACCAAGUCUACGAUCAGUAGCUGAUGUGAGAGCAUGAUCAGCCACACGGGCACUGAGACACGGGCCCGACUCCUACGGGAGGCAGCAGUAAGGAAUAUUGGUCAAUGGACGCAAGUCUGAACCAGCCAUGCCGCGUGAAGGAUUAAGGUCCUCUGGAUUGUAAACUUCUUUUAUCUGGGACGGAAAAAGGCUUUUCUAAGUCACUUGACGGUACCAGAUGAAUAAGCACCGGCUAACUCCGUGCCAGCCGCCGCGGUAACAC
rnacentral:rRNA from 1 species